UACGGAGGAUGCAAGCGUUAUCCGGAAUGAUUGGGCGUAAAGCGUCCGCAGGUGGCAAUGUAAGUCUGCUGUCAAAGCGUCUGGCUCAACCAGAUAAAGGCAGUGGAAACUACAUAGCUAGAGUAAGGUAGGGGUAGAGGGAAUUCCUGGUGUAGCGGUGAAAUGCGUAGAGAUUGGGAAGAACAUCGGUGGCGAAAGCGCUCUACUGGACCGACACUGACACUGAGAGACGAAAGCUAGGGGAGCGAAUGGG
rnacentral:rRNA from 1 species